CGCUAGGUGGCUAAAAUGAUGUCCACCAGGUUGCGCGAGUGUCUUCAGAAUGCUGAUCGUGACGUCUGUAUUCGUGCGUCGUCCAAUGCACCAGCAAAUGUCUGUGCUGGUUACUUUGUUGCAGCCAGCUGGUGAUAGGUGUUCCUUUUGCAGGCUUGCUAGUUGCUAGCCGUAGGUAUUGGUUGUAACUUUCGUCACAGCGGUUUUUAAAGGCAAGUCGAAGAUCUUUCCUUUCUCCAUUUGUUUGCUGCCCUGUUAUGAAAAUGCGUGUUUGAGAGGGUCUCUACUAUAUAUUGCAAGACAAAAAUGUUAUGAAAACAGAAAAUCUGAAAAGGUGCAUGUCCAUGGUCAGUUUGGUGGUUCAGUGGUUUUGCAGUCAUUUUCCAGUUGAGAGAUGUGCUGAAAUGGAGCUUGUGCAGACUUGUAGUUCAAUACCAUACUUUAAUGUGUCAUUUGCCUAUUUUGAAAUCCAUGCAGUAUAUGCAGUGUUCAACAGUUGGGUAAUAGUCAAUGUUGCCUGAUGGCUGUCGGGCUUAUUUUAUCGGCUUCGUUUUGUCGAUAUGUCGUCUCUUGCUACCUGUACUGGCGUUUAGUUUAAUCGUUGCUGCCGUUCCAUAUACUUGAUCCAUUGGUAACACUGAGGAGAGAUUGCUGAAAUUCAAGACUCGUCAUUUCGUCAAUAAAUUAUGUAGAUGUAGAUAUAAAUUAAAGCGCAUAUCUGGGCUCCCUUCUUCAGUGGCCCCGUUU